rnacentral:rRNA from 1 species
AAACGCUUGCCCUUUCCUCCAAGAAAGAAACGAAAACUCCGGUCGAAAAAGAAAAGAGAGAAAGAAACGAAAACAACAGCCGGCCGAAGCCUCCGCUGCGCCGCCGCCGGCACAGGAGCCAAGCAGCGCCUCCCUUCGUCGAGCAGCAACGCCGCCGCCCGGAGCUACGCCGGCGACCAACCCAUAGGCAGAACAGGGCAUCAACAUUGUCAAUUGGAGAGGCUUGGAGCUGCUUUGGCAUCCACAGUAGAGCAAACACAAGAAGUAUCGACAUGGAUUCCAGCAAUACACAGUCUGAAGGUUCUCAGUCACCUGUUCCUCCUAAAAACCCUACCAUGUCGUCGUGCCGGAAGAAGAAAACUGAUGAUGAUGCUACCUUCUCGAAGAUGUGAAAGAGCACAUUGACGAGUUCAUCCAUGCCUCCAUGGACGAGCACAAGACCUGCUUCAAGAAGACCAUCCAGAAGAUGUUCGGGAUGUCGAAGGCUGUUGCGGAGCGGUCCGCUGCAGCGAAGGAAGCUGAAGUCGAAAGCGCUUUGCCUCGUAAGACCAGUGUGUCCCAGUAGGAGGUUGCAUUGGUGGUGGCCGGUUCUUGCUUUCUGGUGACCUAGUUCUUGUAUCAGGAAUCUAGCUAGUGUUUUGUUUUCCCUACUGUUGCUGUAUGGUCACUAUAUAUUUUUCUGUGAGAAAUGUUGAAUAAUAUUAACAUGAAUAUAACCUGAGACUGGAGCACUGGCUUUCUCUAUCAGAUAAAUAUGUACAGGGAUGCUGAUAGCUUAGCGAAAUAUUUAGCGGC